rnacentral:rRNA from 1 species
GACGAACGCUGGCGGCGUGCUUAACACAUGCCAGUCGAACGGAAAGGCCCCUUUGGGGGUACUCGAGUGGCGAACGGGUGAGUAACACGUGAGUAACCUGCCCUUGACUUCGGGAUAACUUCAGGAAACUGGGGCUAAUACCGGAUAGGAAUCCUUGCUGCAUGGUGGGGGUUGGAAAGCUUCGGCGGUUUUGGAUGGACUCGCGGCUUAUCAGCUUGUUGGUGGGGUAGUGGCUUACCAAGGCUUUGACGGGUAGCCGGCCUGAGAGGGCGACCGGCCACAUUGGGACUGAGAUACGGCCCAGACUCCUACGGGAGGCAGCAGUGGGGAAUAUUGCACAAGGGGCGGAAGCCUGAUGCAGCAACGCCGCGUGCGGGAUGACGGCCUUCGGGUUGUAAACCGCUUUCAGCAGGGGCGAAGCUUGUGGUGACGGUACCUGCAGAAGAAGCACCGGCUAACUACGUG